AUACGUAGGUGGCAAGCGUUGUCCGGAAUUAUUGGGUGUAAAGGGCGCGUAGGCGGCAACCUAAGUCAGAUGUGAAACCCCGGGGCUUAACUCCGGACGUGCAUUUGAAACUGGGUAGCUAGAGUGCAGGAGAGGAAAGCGGAAUUCCUAGUGUAGCGGUGAAAUGCGUAGAUAUUAGGAGGAACACCAGUGGCGAAGGCGGCUUUCUGGACUGUAACUGACGCUGAGGCGCGAAAGCGUGGGGAGCAAACAGGAUUAGAUACCCUGGUAGUCCACGCUGUAAACGAUGGAUACUAGGUGUGGGAGGUAUCGACCCCUUCCGUGCCGCAGUAAACGCAAUAAGUAUCCCGCCUGGGGAGUACGGCCGCAAGGUUGA
rnacentral:rRNA from 1 species